UAAAUCCGUCACAAAUAAAAAAAAUCGAAAAUUGUCUAUAGUACAUCAACAACAUCAACAACAACUAAUAAAUUGGUCAGUGUUCUCAUCUUUAGAUAAGUGUGGUUGAAGUAUAAUAGAAAUCCAUAAGGAUUUAUCUUUGUCUCUAUUUUUCUGUAUGAAGAAAACUCUUACAAAAGCCCUAUGUUUUUAGAGACAAGGUGUUUAUUAAACUUUUGCAAUAGUCUAAAUGUUGGGUAGUCAAGACAGGUGUAUGAAGAUACCAUAGGCUUUUAAAGUUUAAACGCUCGGUUUGGAAUCUUUGUUUACAGCCAUUACUUUACAACUAGUAUGUAUGUACUUCUUUAACCCGCCUUGUGUAAAGUUAUCAACUUUGAAUACUUUUUUCAGGUGCAAUAUCGACAAUAAGUUGUUUGCAAUGUGAAAAUAAAUUUCGUGGAUGUUCAAAAUCACACAAGUUCUACAUCUCCAUAUACAAUAUCUCAAACCAUAUGUUGAGUGAGACAAGCAAGGAAUUGAUAAAAUGUGUAAGUCUUAUUAAAGAUUUCCUUUUUCCUAUUUUCGAUUUAUCCAUGAGGAACUGUUAACGUUCCUUUUUUAGAGAAAACUUGUCCGAAAGCACAAUGACUGCAGUUGGUCCGCUUGCCACUGGGAAUUUAUUGCAGCAACUAGAAUUAAUAACAUAUUAAAUGGAAGAGAUAAAAAGCAAAUUUAUGAGGAGAUUAUUCAGUUGUUGGCUAAUAUUGAACCAUAUUUAUUGAAUAUCACCAACUGCGACAAAGAAGCACACAAAGGGUUAAAAUUGAUCAAACGAUAUAAUGAGAUGAUUUGUCAGUUAAGACAUGCCAGACAGUUUUCUCACCGUUGCUUAACAGAACGAAACUACGAAGACAUACAUUCAUACACCAAGGUUAAACACUUUAAACCGCGAGGCUGUUGUGGAAAUCCAGAUGUACUCACUUAUUCAAUUCUUUAUUAUUUUAAAAUGGUUUUACGUAAAGCGCAAUUAAAAUGGUUUUACCGUCGUGUGCUUUUCCAUAUUUCACAUCUUUAAAGCCAUCGAUGAUAAAGUAUACGGCUAACUGCUUACUGUCCAACUUACAUAAAUAUGUAUUAGGUUUUUUUACAAAGUUUAAAAAAAAUUGGCGGAUUUUGAAAUUUCUUUUUUCUUUAAUAGAGUUUUUAACUCAAAUAUUUUUUCAACACAAA